rnacentral:miRNA from 1 species
GCAGACAUAUUCCAGCCAAUCAGCAGCAGACCCUCCCUCCCAGGCCCUCCCACCUCCUGGACAGCAUUCAUUUUGAAGCUGCAUUCUUAGUGAGCUGUCCAGGAGGUGGGAGGGUCUGGGAGAGAGGGUCUGCUGCUGAUUGGCUGGAAUGUGUCUG